AUGCUGUCCAUCAGUACUAUGCACAUGCUCCUGGUCUGUCCAUUGGUGCCACGUGUGUGUUCUACGUCCACCCAGCAGUGCCACGUGUGUGGUCCUGGUCUGUCCAUCACUGCCACACAUGUGGCUCCAGUCUGCCCAUCAGUGCCACACAUGUGUUCCAUGUCCAUCAGUGCCACAUGUGCUACCAGUCUGUCCAUUAAUGCCAUCCAUGUGGUCCCCAUCUGUCCAUCAGUGCCAUGUGUGUGCUCUAUGCCCACCCAACAGCGCCAUCCAUGUGCUGCUGUUCUGUCCAUCGCUGCCAUGCAUGUGGUCCCAUGCUGUCCAUCAGUGCCAUGCAAGUCCUCUAUAUCCAUCAGUGCCAUGUGUGGUCCCAGUCUGUCCAUUAAUGCCAUACAUGUGGUCCCAUGCUGUCCAUCAGUGCCAUGCACAUGCUCCUGGUCUGUCCAUUGGUGCCAUGUGUGUGCUCCAUGCCCACCCAGCAGUGCCACAUGUGUGCUCCUGGUCUGCUCAGUGCCACACGUGUGUUCCGUGUCCAUCAGUGCCACAUGUGCACCCAAUAUGUCCAUUAAUGCCAUACAUGUGUUCCCAUGCUGUCCAUCAGUGCCACCCACAUGGUCCUGGUCUGUCCAUUGGUGCCACGUGUGUGUUCUACGUCCACCCAGCAGUGCCACGUGUGUGGUCCUGGUCUGUCCAUCACUGCCACACAUGUGGCUCCAGUCUGCCCAUCAGUGCCACACAUGUGUUCCAUGUCCAUCAGUGCCACAUGUGCUACCAGUCUGUCCAUUAAUGCCAUCCAUGUGGUCCCCAUCUGUCCAUCAGUGCCAUGUGUGUGCUCUAUGCCCACCCAACAGCGCCAUCCAUGUGCUGCUGUUCUGUCCAUCGCUGCCAUGCAUGUGGUCCCAUGCUGUCCAUCAGUGCCAUGCAAGUCCUCUAUAUCCAUCAGUGCCAUGUGUGGUCCCAGUCUGUCCAUUAAUGCCAUACAUGUGGUCCCAUGCUGUCCAUCAGUGCCAUGCACAUGCUCCUGGUCUGUCCAUUGGUGCCAUGUGUGUGCUCCAUGCCCACCCAGCAGUGCCACAUGUGUGCUCCUGGUCUGCCCAUCAGUGCCACACAUGUGGUUCCAGUCUGCCCAUCAGUGCUACACGUGUGCUCUGUGUCCAUCAGUGCCACAUGUGCUCCCAGUCUGUCCAUUAA
rnacentral:lncRNA from 1 species